AUUGAACGCUGGCGGCAAGCCUAACACAUGCAAGUCGAGCGGAGCGGCGGACGGGUGAGUGAUGCUUAGGAAUGUGCAUGGUAGUGGGGGAUAACGUCCGCAAACGGGAGCUAAUACCGCAUACUAUCAGAUGAGCCUAGGUCGGAUUAGCUAGUUGGUGGGGUAAAGGCCUACCAAGGCGACGAUCCGGAACUGGUCUGAGAGGAUGAUCAGUCACACUGGAACGGAGACACGGCCCAGACUCCUACGGGAGGCAGCAGUGGGGAAUAUUGGACAAUGGGCGAAAGCCUGAUGCAGCCAUGCCGCGUGUGUGAAGAAGGUCUUCGGAUUGUAAAGCACUUUAAGUUGGGAGGCGUUACCAACAGAAGAAGCACCGGCUAACUCCGUGCCAGCAGCCGCGGUAAUUC
rnacentral:rRNA from 1 species